GUAGGUGAGCCUGCGGAAGGAUCACUAGUGAUUAAAUCGAGAGUGUCUUCAUUGACCUCUCACCCUUCACAUCCACAUACACCUGUGCACCGUUUGGCUCUUUUAAAAGACGCAAGUCUGCAAAGAGAGCCAUCAUUUUAUACAUACCCCAGUCUCAUGAAUGUAACAGUUUUAAUAAACAAAAUAAAACUUUUAACAACGGAUCUCUUGGUUCUG
rnacentral:misc_RNA from 1 species